rnacentral:tRNA from 1 species
GGGCGAUUAACUCAGUGGCAAGAGUGCUUCCCUUACAAGGAAGAAGUCACAGGUUCAAAUCCUGUAUCGCCCACCA